rnacentral:rRNA from 1 species
UACGUAGGGUGCAAGCGUUGUCCGGAAUUAUUGGGCGUAAAGAGCUCGUAGGCGGUUCGUCGCGUCGGCUGUGAAAACCUGAGGCUCAACCUCAGGCCUGCAGUCGAUACGGGCGGACUUGAGUACUGCAGGGGAGACUGGAAUUCCUGGUGUAGCGGUGGAAUGCGCAGAUAUCAGGAGGAACACCGGUGGCGAAGGCGGGUCUCUGGGCAGUAACUGACGCUGGAGGAGCGAAAGCGUGGGGAGCGAACAGG